CCAGCGGGAGGGUGCCCAGGAGUGCCACCCAGCAGCGGGCACCUCGCUCCAGCGCCACAAUUCCCAUUCCUCGAUCUCGCCGGAGCAGAGGGCAGGCUCCCUGCGGAGGCAGGGGCUGGGCUGGGCACUGCCCGCGGGCAGAGCCGCAGUGCCCGCGCCGCGGGUGGGAGACACCGGGCUGGAAACCAGAGCGGAGGAGGGAUGAGGGGAUGGGGAAAGCAGGGCAGCCCUCCGGCCUCGCUGCCUCCCUGGCUCCCGGGAAGCUGCCAAGCCUGCCAGCAGAGAUGCUGCAGUAUUGCGUUCGCUUGGCUCCGCACGCGUCGGGAGCAGAGCUGCCGCCAAAAUACCUCCUGCUCAAGGGAGGGAGCUGUGGAGAGCGAAGGAUGAUGGGGAGCCUGCCAGCCCCAGCCCCAGCCAGCCCCCACGGCCUUCUCCAGUGGAGAAGCAUGUGGGUUGUGGACUUUUAUUUUCCACUCAUUCAAUCACAGAAACUCCUUGAAGGAGAUCUGCUGGUUCACAUAAAGCUGUAAUAACAAAGCAAGUUUUCAAUGUUUGAUUCACGACACUGACUUGGGCUCUAAAAGCUUCUAAUUUUUCUGUGAGCUCCUGGCUAAUGGGAUAUGUCUCCAAUAUUGCCAGUGGGUUCUUUUCUGCACAGCCUCAAGUAACCUCUGGCACAGCCUGAGGACAUUCUUCUUCUCUCCUUUCACCUUAAAAAAAAUAAAAUAAAAUCUACAAUAAUUAA